GCGCAGUGGAGAAGAAGCAGGAACCCGUUGUGUUUUACUUCCUCCUGACGGGUAUCGAGCAUCGGGACCGUUAAGCCCGUCUUCCUUGUUUACAUAGAUGCUUCGAUUUACUCACUGGCUUUACUAGGUGUUUUCGCACCUCACCGGAGCACACGUUGCCUGGCCUGCAGAUCGGACGGUCGCGCGAUCGUAGCUCUUCCGUGUGAAGAUGCCACACUGCUGGGCCACGACGUAAUGCGAGUUUGAAUCAUUCAAUCAAUCCGGCUCGAUCGGUAUCGAUAAGGCAGCGCUGGGCCGCUUGUCAUGGAGGCGGGUCUCUCCGUGGCGCUGCUCAGGGACCAGCUGGGCGCCGUGAUCGAGCAGGCGGUGACCGCCGCAGUGGAGACCGUUCUGGGCGAGAUGGCGCGGCUGGUGGGCAGUAAGUUCGAGGAGUUCCGCAAGGAGAUGUCGGCCAAGGAGAAAGAGAACGAGAGCAUCAAGCAGAUGCUGGAGAUCUCGCGUUGCCAGAUGAAGACGCUGCGGAAGUACCUGAGCGCCGUGGGGGCCAAGGAGGAGCGGCAGCUUCCGGGAAGCCGCAGCAGGAGCGGGCAGCAGAGCUGUGGGCCCCUGGGGGAGCUGCAGGGCCCCCCCGCCGCUCCCGCCGCCCCUCCUCCCCCCCCUGUGAACCGGCCGAAGGGCCCCGGCAGGGCGGCCCCGCCGUGGGACAGAGGGCCCUCCAAGUUCCCAACGAGCCAGGGACCGUCGGGGGAGGGAGCGCACGGCUCCCCUGGUGGGCCCUCCCUUCUGAAAGCGGAGGGGCCUCCAGAGGGCCAUGGCGGGCCGUGCCUCAGGAACCAGGGGGGGCGCGAAGCCGCAGGGGGCGCGAAGCCGCCGGCUGCAGCGCAGGAGGGGCGUCUGGAAGCCCCGUGUUCGAACCCUUCACCGGUUUCUAAGGCCGCCGUCCUCCCGGCAGCGGACACGGGCUCCCAGACGGCGUGGGGCACCUCGCUUCAGCCCAAGAAGGAAGAGGAGGAGGAGGGGGCGGACAUCGACGUCAUCUGUAUCAAGGAGGAGCCCGAAGAGCUCGAGGCGUGUUCCCUGGAGCCCCGGCGGUGUCCAGCAUCUGAGGUCUCUGACCAGGGCAGCGAUCUGGCAGAUCAGCAGGACGGUGCUCUGCCUCCCGUCGUGCCCUCGGAGGAGCUGAUGGCAGCCUUCACUCUAGUGAGCCCUGGUACAUAUCCGGACGUGCGUAGCUCACUGGCCGGACCCCUGCAGCAGACCCGGCGGCGCCAGUGGCUCGGCGACGCUUGCGAGGACUACAGGCACCGCAAAGCUGAGCUGAAGCGCCGCAGCCAGCACCGGAGGAGGGAGUUGGAGAAGAACCUACCACAGCCGCUGCUGAAUGCCUUGGUCAGGGAGCGCAGGGAGAAGACCCGGCUGAGGGUGGCUCGCUGGAGGGCCAAGCGCAAGCUGCAGGCCAGCCUCAUGGCAGCGGAUGCGGCACAGUUCAGCUGCCCCCCCAUGCAGACAGUGCAUGGGCAACGCAGCGACCCGCUCCGCUGUCAGCAGCAGCCCAUCGGCGUCCCACAGUUCAGUGGCCUCCUGUACAGCAAUGCGCACAGCGACAGCGGCGCACAUUAUCCCGGUUUGCAGUUCAACUCUCACCCGCUGUUACCCGGACUCAGGCACAACAUAGCAAAUGCGGUCAUGCAGCCCGGGGUGAUGUCCUCCACGCAGCAGGCCAUGCUGGGAGCAGAUGUCCUCAGAACUGAACCUUCGGGGCCACCAGAAGCUACCGGUGGGCUGACAGCUGGGAUUCUCAAACCAUAACAGCAGCUGCAGGUCCACAGCACACAAGUACUCUGAGGAAAGUGCAGGUCUACUAUAGAAAGUUUAGGGUUAGGCAGAAAUCUGACUUAUUUCCUCAAUCAUGUGUAGAACUGAAGAAAAAUGGCAGCACUGCUGUCUCCUGGCUGAAAUGUGGAACUUUAAGCAUUAAUUGACAUUAACGGACACUAAAACUGGCAUUUUUAUGGUAAUGAUCGAUGGCCUAAACUUCAAGGGCGGAUUUUUAACAAAUUUCAAGUUGUGUUUCUUAUAAUGUGUUCCACAUUUGUUGAUUAAAAAUCCUAACAAAAUGAUGCGUGUGCUGUGUAACAAUGACAGUGAAUUUCAAUUCAGUUUAUUUUUAUAGAGCGCUCUUCUCAUGCAGUGACACAGUGUGCUUUAACAUGCACGUAAGAAAGUAAACCCAUGAGCUCAUCAGUAUUUCUUUCCCCUGAUGAUGAUCUCACAUUAGGCUACUGUCCACUAAUACUGUACACACAAACUGUGACUGAGACCAGGCCGAGUGGGUGGAAUGGGUUUAUGAAAAUAUGCUUCCCAAAUAAACUACUGCUUUCACCUAUAAUUAUGGGAAGG
rnacentral:lncRNA from 1 species